UACGUAGGGGGCAAGCGUUGUCCGGAAUUAUUGGGCGUAAAGAGCUCGUAGGCGGUCUGUCGCGUCUGGUGUGAAAACUCGGGGCUUAACCCCGGGCCUGCAUCGGGUACGGGCAGACUAGAGUGCGGUAGGGGAGACUGGAAUUCCUGGUGUAGCGGUGAAAUGCGCAGAUAUCAGGAGGAACACCGGUGGCGAAGGCGGAUCUCUGGGCCAUUACUGACGCUGAGGAGCGAAAGCGUGGGGAGCGAACAGG
rnacentral:rRNA from 1 species